UACGGGGGGAGCAAGCGUUGUCCGGAUUUAUUGGGCGUAAAGGGCAUGUAGGUGGUCUUUUAAGUCAGUUGUUAAACCUAUCGGCUUAACCGGUACUUGCAAUUGAUACUGAAAGACUUGAAUUAGAGAGGGGAUAGUGGAAUAUCAAGUGUAGCGGUGGAAUGCGUAGAUAUUUGAUAGAACACCUGAGGUGCAGACGACUAUCUGGCUCAUGAUUGACACUGAGAUGCGAAAGCAUGGGGAGCAAACAGGAUUAGAUACCCUGGUAGUCCAUGCUGUAAACGAUGGGUACUAGGUGUCUGGGGACUAACCCCCUGGGCGCCGUAGCUAACGCGUUAAGUACCCCGCCUGGGGAGUACGAUCGCAAGGUUGAA
rnacentral:rRNA from 1 species